CCAAUAGCGUAUAUUAAAGUUGCUGCAGUUAAAAAGCUCGUAGUUGAAUUUCGGGAUCAAUAUGUUGGUCGUGCCUUGGUACGUACUAGCUUUUUGAUUUCUCCCUUCUGACGAACUAUGAUGUCAUUAAUUUGGUGUCAUGGGGAAUCAGAACUGUUACUUUGAAAAAAUUAGAGUGUUUAAAGCAGGCUCACGCUUGAAUACAUUAGC
rnacentral:rRNA from 1 species